CCUUUCUGCACUGCUGACCACAACUUGAUGACUACUUUUCUUUUUAUAAGCAGCUUCCAGAAAAACAAGCCCAAUACAAAUAAUAAAUGCCAACAAGCUAGCAAAAGCGUUGGAAAAUGGGUUUUGUGGUAGAACCAAAGAAAGCGCUAAUGGAGGACAAGGAAUGAGUACAGAUAAAAAUAGUAUAAUCAUGUCUAAAUAAAAUUGAUGGACAUAGCA
rnacentral:lncRNA from 1 species